UACGGAGGGGGCUAGCGUUGUUCGGAAUUACUGGGCGUAAAGCGCACGUAGGCGGAUUGUUAAGUCGGGGGUGAAAGCCCGGGGCUCAACCCCGGAAUGGCCUCUGAUACUGGCUAUCUCGAGGCCGGGAGAGGUGGGUGGAAUGGCGAGUGUAGAGGUGAAAUUCGUAGAUAUUCGGCGGAACACCGGUGGCGAAGGCGGCCCACUGGCUCGGUACUGACGCUGAGGUGCGAAAGCGUGGGGAGCAAACAGG
rnacentral:rRNA from 1 species